rnacentral:miRNA from 1 species
ACUGGAUGUGUGUCAUAGUCAUG